rnacentral:rRNA from 1 species
AACGAACGCUGGCGGCAGGCUUAACACAUGCAAGUCGAACGAGAAUCUAGAGCUUGCUUUAGAGGACAGUGGCAGACGGGUGAGUAACGCGUGGCAACCUACCUUUUUCUACGGAACAACAGUUAGAAAUGACUGCUAAUACCGUAUACGCCCUCCGGGGGAAAGAUUUAUCGGUGAAAGAUGGGGCCGCGUUAGAUUAGCUAGUUGGUGAGGUAAGAGCUCACCAAGGCGACGAUCUAUAGCUGGUCUGAGAGGAUGAUCAGCCACACUGGGACUGAGACACGGCCCAG